CGACUGUGCCUUUCAGGCAUCCUCUCCUAAAAACUUUCAUGGGUCGGCUUUGCCGGCCCUUUUUUUUCGUGCGC
rnacentral:sRNA from 1 species